rnacentral:rRNA from 1 species
AGAGUUUGAUCCUGGCUCAGAACGAACGCUGGCGGCAGGCUUAACACAUGCAAGUCGAACGCACCGCAAGGUGAGUGGCAGACGGGUGAGUAACGCGUGGGAACGUGCCCUUCAGUUCGGGAUAACCCAGGGAAACUUGGGCUAAUACCGGAUACGUGCGAGAGCAGAAAGAUUUAUCGCUGAAGGAUCGGCCCGCGUCUGAUUAGCUAGUUGGUAGGGUAAUGGCCUACCAAGGCGACGAUCAGUAGCUGGUCUGAGAGGAUGAUCAGCCACAUUGGGACUGAGACACGGCCCAAACUCCUACGGGAGGCAGCAGUGGGGAAUAUUGGACAAUGGGCGCAAGCCUGAUCCAGCCAUGCCGCGUGAGUGAUGAAGGCCUUAGGGUUGUAAAGCUCUUUCGGCGGGGACGAUAAUGACGGUACCCGCAGAAGAAGCCCCGGCUAACUUCGUGCCAGCAGCCGCGGUAAUACGAAGGGGGCUAGCGUUGUUCGGAAUCACUGGGCGUAAAGGGCGCGUAGGCGGCCUGAUAAGUCGGGGGUGAAAGCCUGUGGCUCAACCACAGAAUUGCCUUCGAUACUGUCGGGCUUGAGACCGGAAGAGGUCAGUGGAACUGCGAGUGUAGAGGUGAAAUUCGUAGAUAUUCGCAAGAACACCAGUGGCGAAGGCGGCUGACUGGUCCGGUUCUGNNGCUGAGGCGCGAAAGCGUGGGGAGCAAACAGGAUUAGAUACCCUAGUAGUCC